rnacentral:rRNA from 1 species
AUUGAACGCUGGCGGCAGGCCUAACACAUGCAAGUCGAGCGGAUGAAGGGAGCUUGCUCCUGGAAUCAGCGGCGGACGGGUGAGUAAUGCCUAGGAAUCUGCCUGGUAGUGGGGGAUAACGUCCGGAAACGGGCGCUAAUACCGCAUACGUCCUGAGGGAGAAAGUGGGGGAUCUUCGGACCUCACGCUAUCAGAUGAGCCUAGGUCGGAUUAGCUAGUUGGUGGGGUAAAGGCCUACCAAGGCGACGAUCCGUAACUGGUCUGAGAGGAUGAUCAGUCACACUGGAACUGAGACACGGUCCAGACUCCUACGGGAGGAAGCAGUGGGGAAUAUUGGACAAUGGGCGAAAGCCUGAUCCAGCCAUGCCGCGUGUGUGAAGAAGGUCUUCGGAUUGUAAAGCACUUUAAGUUGGGAGGAAGGGCAGUAAGUUAAUACCUUGCUGUUUUGACGUUACCGACAGAAUAAGCACCGGCUAACUUCGUG